AACGAACGCUGGCGGCGUGCUUAACACAUGCAAGUCGAGCGAGAAAGGGAGCUUGCUCCUGAGUAAAGCGGCGCACGGGUGAGUAACACGUGGGUAACCUGCCUUUCAGUGGGGGAUAACAGCCCGAAAGGGCUGCUAAUACCGCAUUCGUCCACACGGUCACAUGUCUGUGUGGAGAAAGAGGCGCAAGUCUCGCUGGAAGAUGGGCCCGCGGUCCAUUAGCUAGUUGGUGGGGUAAAGGGCCUACCAAGGCUUCGAUGGAUAGCUGGUCUGAGAGGAUGAUCAGCCACACUGGAACUGAGACACGGUCCAGACUCCUACGGGAGGCAGCAGUGGGGAAUAUUGCGCAAUGGGCGAAAGCCUGACGCAGCAACGCCGCGUGUGUGAUGAAGGCCUCGGUUGUAAGCGACUAGUUCAGAGGGAAGGAAA
rnacentral:rRNA from 1 species